rnacentral:tRNA from 1 species
UGCCGGGUCGUCUAACAGCAGGACAGCGGUCUCUGAAACCGUGGGUGCAUGUGCGACUCAUGCCCCGGCAGCCA